UACGUAGGGCGCAAGCGUUGUCCGGAAUUAUUGGGCGUAAAGAGCUCGUAGGCGGCCUGUCGCGUCUGCUGUGAAAUCCCGGGGCUUAACCCCGGGCGUGCAGUGGAUACGGGCUGGCUGGAGGCAGGCAGGGGAGAACGGGAAUUCCCGGUGUAGCGGUGAAAUGCGCAGAUAUCGGGAGGAACACCGGUGGCGAAGGCGGUUCUCUGGGCCUGUUCUGACGCUGAGGAGCGAAAGCGUGGGGAGCGAACAGG
rnacentral:rRNA from 1 species